rnacentral:misc_RNA from 1 species
UACUGGCAGGAUCAACCAGGUAGCAUUCCUUCGCGACNNCNNCGCCCGCAUGAGGCCCGACGGGCCGCACGGCCCUCGGACGCUCAAGACGGGCGCGGCGGUCGUUCGUGUCGAGGGACGAAAUGCGUUGCUUGGGCAAACGGAGGCCGAGAGACCCCGCACCCGCGCAUAACGUUCUGCAUCCGAGAGCACGGGCAGAGCACCUCAUGGGCCACGGCAACCACGCGAGCGGGCGAGGCAUGCCAGGAACACGAGGCUCGCCUUGCGUCCACCCCACCNCCCGCGAGGGC